AACGAACGCUGGCGGCAUGCCUAACACAUGCAAGUCGAACGAGACCUUCGGGUCUAGUGGCGCACGGGUGCGUAACGCGUGGGAACCUGCCCUUAGGUUCGGAAUAACUCGCCGAAAGGGGUGCUAAUGCCGGAUAAUGUCUUCGGAGCAAGGAUUUAUCGCCUUGGGUUGUGCCGGCGUUGGAUUAGCUAGUUGGUAGGGUAAAACCCUACCAAGGCGACGAUCCAUAGCUGGUCUGAGAGGAGGAUCAGCCACACUGGGACGGGGACCCGGCCCAGACUCUUACGGGAGGAAGCGGGGGGGAAUAUGGGCAAAGGGGCGAAGGCUUAAGCCAGCAAGGCGGGGGGAGUGAGGAAGGCCUUAGGGUGGUAAAGCCUUUUUACACGGGAUGAUAAUGACGGUACCGGGAGAAUAAGCCCCGGCUAACUCCGUG
rnacentral:rRNA from 1 species